CAAGUCUCAGUACAGACUGUAUUAAAGUGAAACCGCAAAAGGCUCAGUAAACCAGUUUUAAUUUACUAGAGUAAGCUUGACUGUCUUUGGAUAACUGUGGUAAUUCUAGAGCUAAUACAUGCAACGAAGCCCUGACUUAUCAUGGAAGGGGCGCUUUUAUUAGAUCAAAACUAUUCGCCCGGUUCCACCGGGCGUUUACUUGAUGAACCUAGAUAACACUUCAGAUCGUAUGGUCACCGUACCGGCGACUUAUCUUUCAAAUGCCUGACUUAUCAACUGUCGAUGGUAGACUCUGUGUCUACCAUGGCUCUUACGGGUAACGGGGAAUCAGGGUUCGAUUCCGGAGAGGGAGCCUGAGAAACGGCUACCACAUCCAAGGAAGGCAGCAGGCACGCAAAUUACCCACUCCCGGCACGGGGAGGUAGUGACAAAAAAUAACGAUACGGGACUCUUAUGAGGCCUCGUAAUCGGAAUGAGUACACUUUAAAUCCUUUAACAAGGAUCCAUUGGAGGGCAAGUCUGGUG
rnacentral:rRNA from 1 species